rnacentral:rRNA from 1 species
CACUGUCACUCCUACGGGGAGGCAGCAGUGGGGAAUAUUGCACAAUGGGCGCAAGCCUGAUGCAGCCAUGCCGCGUGUAUGAAGAAGGCCUUCGGGUUGUAAAGUACUUUCAGUCGUGAGGAAGGCGGCGUCGUUAAUAGCGGCGUUGUUUGACGUUAGCGACAGAAGAAGCACCGGCUAACUCCGUGCCAGCAGCCGCGGUAAUACGGAGGGUGCGAGCGUUAAUCGGAAUUACUGGGCGUAAAGCGCAUGCAGGUGGUUUGUUAAGUCAGAUGUGAAAGACCCGGGGCUCAACCUCGGAAUUGCAUUUGAAACUGGCAGACUAGAGUACUGUAGAGGGGGGUAGGAAUUUCAGGUGUAGCGGUGAAAUGCGUAGAGAUCUGAAGGAAUACCGGUGGCGAAGGCGGCCCCCUGGACAGAUACUGACACUCAGAUGCGAAAGCGUGGGGAGCAAACAGGAUUAGAUACCCGGUAG